GACGAACGCUGUCGGCGUGCUUAACACAUGCAAGUCGAACGGAAAGGCCCUGCUUUUGUGGGGUGCUCGAGUGGCGAACGGGUGAGUAACACGUGAGUAACCUGCCCUUGACUUUGGGAUAACUUCAGGAAACUGGGGCUAAUACCGGAUAGGAGCUCCUGCUGCAUGGUGGGGGUUGGAAAGUUUCGGCGGUUGGGGAUGGACUCGCGGCUUAUCAGCUUGUUGGUGGGGUAGUGGCUUACCAAGGCUUUGACGGGUAGCCGGCCUGAGAGGGUGACCGGCCACAUUGGGACUGAGAUACGGCCCAGACUCCUACAGGAGGCAGCAGUGGGGAAUAUUGCACAAUGGGCGGAAGCCUGAUGCAGCAACGCCGCGUGCGGGAUGACGGCCUUCGGGUUGUAAACCGCUUUCGCCUGUGACGAAGCGUGAGUGACGGUAAUGGGUAAAGAAGCACCGGCUAACUACGUG
rnacentral:rRNA from 1 species